UCUUCGCUGCUCCGGUGAACCGGAGCAGCCAACAACCAACGCCACCCCCUCUCCUUUUGUUUGUCACUGACACCACUAUUUAUGGCCCAAAACGGAAUUUUUUCUGCUUUAAAGUUUUGGAUCUGACCGGAAAACAUCCAUUAAAAUGGGUUGUUUGCUUGCAAAUGUCUACUGAUAUCCUCAUUCCGUCCUGGCUUUUCAAUUGAUUGUUGAUUGUGGGGAGCUAUCAAGACUUCUUUUUCGGGUUCAUUUUUUUUUAACGGGUACAUUUUUAAUGCACGUGUUACUGUAAUUGUUAGAUUAUAUAAUUUUUUGUUUAUACUUCCGAAACAAUUCAUGAGUCAAAAAGAAUUUUCAAUA